GAGUGGGUAGUUCAGCGGCUAGAACUCUCGUCUCCAAAACGAGAAACACAAGUUCGAUUCUUGUCCCACUCACCA
rnacentral:tRNA from 1 species